GUUUAACAAAUAAUCUAUGCGCGAUCUCACAUACUAUUCAGUUGGUUUUACAUUAACAUUGUUAUUGAUCAAACAUUAAGAUAUUAACUUAGAGGGAAGUGCACAAGUGGAUUUGUUUUCUUUUUCAAUGUGUGGAUCUUUGGACUCGAGCAGACAUUUUGCAGAGUACAAUAAAGCGGACUGAGUGAUUGCUGAAUACGAGAAAUGACAUAUAUCUAGAUAAACACUCAUCGGGACUUGUACACGCUGUAUACGGUAAACUUGACAUUUAACGUAUAAUAUAAAGCAUUUAUAAAGAUGCUGGAAUGUUGAAGAUUUGAUACGUGCAUUCGCAUGUAAAUAUUUAAAACGGAAACAUCGAUACAGAAGUGGUUUGAUAAUAAACAAUAAGAUGAAAAAUGCGGAUUUAUUGAGCUGGUAACUGACGAAUGCUUUGUGAAAAGUGAAGCUGGACAUAUUUAUGCCACUGUUUGUAAGUGUUAGUGUUUAUAUCAAAUAACGUCGUCGUGGUAUUCUUAGAAGAUUAUGAACAAUGAGUAAAUUUGUAGCUGCAAUAAGGAAAUUCUUUUCGAAGACUCCGGAGGAAAAGAAAGAGCAGGAAGAAGCUGAGGGACCUCACGAACCCAACAAGUACCAGAAGGCCGAAAAGAAGCCGAGGAUGUACGACGAGGUCGUAAUAGGGGACGACGGAACCCAAGCAGUGAAAGACGAGUCUCCCGCCACGAAAAAUUUACAAGAACCACCACCACGUGCACCAAGACAGUACGAGGAAGUAGACCUUCCAACUUCAAAUGGUGGCCCGGUCAUUGGGAAGACUCAUUGAGAUGUUUGUGUUGCAGGUGGCCCGGUCAUUGGGAAGACUCAUUGAGAUGUUUGUGUUGCAGGUGGCCCGGUCAUUGGGAAGACUCAUUGAGAGGAGAAGAGGCGUAUAAAACAGUCACAUUUUCUUGGAAGACACCCAUGACAUGUCAUGUGUCAGAAAAAGAGUCAAUAGCCAACUUUCGUGCAGGAUUUAGGACUACCAUAACUGUGUAUAUGUUAUAUUUUGUCACCUGAUGAAAGUAGCAUUAUUAAUUAUAUUUUGUAAUGCAUAAACGUAUUUUUUUUCAUUUACAUGUAGCUUAUUCGAUCAAUCAACAUAUAAUGCAAUUAAAUAACUAUGGAAGGGGUAUUAAGUAAGUGAUUCUUUUAUAUUUCUUAUCUCAAAUAAAGUUAACGACAAUUAAAGUAUUCGAUGAAAUGUAAACAACUAUUGAACCAGUAAGGAAAUAACUUGGACUGCACAUAAAUCAUAUUGAUACAUUGUCUAAAUAUUUUAGUCUUUACAUAUUUUUAUAUUGUCUAUUACAUAUUUUUAUUGUAUAUUUAUAACUUAACAUUUGUAUUUGUCAAUCAUAUUAUAAUCAUGUUCAUGUCAUAUUUUCGCGAUAAAAGAAUCAAUAUUUUGCAUAUAGUUUAGUAUAAUGAAUGCAUGUUUGUGUAAGUACAGCGCAUUGUGUGGCAUUGAGGUAUUAUUCAAAACUGGUUACGCAUACAUUUAUGUGUUAUAUACACUAUAGUAUCUUAGAACUGCUUCAUGAUAAUGAUUGAAUCUGGAAAGACAAAUUAAAGAAAGAAUUUCAAAAAUGGUUGUUAAUGGAAUUUUAAAAAUGUAACGUUGCUUAUUAACUAAUAUAUUUUUUCUUCACACUGUUUGGGUGCAAAACAUAUCAUUUUGAUAUCAAUUCAUUUUGUGUAAUUUAAACAAGUAUAUGUCUAUCAUAUAACACUGUUCUCGAACAAUUAUAGAAAUCAGUUAUCAAACUUUCCAUGAAAAGAUAUUUCUUUACUUAAGUUUGAAUUAUGGAACGUAUUUUAUAACUAAAUUAGGAAUUCUAUUUUUAUCGUUUCUUUGUAAUUAACAUUAUGCAAAAUCAUCUUUUGUGUUGAUAAGAUAUAAGUAUAUAAUAGAAAUAGAAAUGUGCAUGCUUCUAAAAAUAAGUUGUUCUUAAAGUAAAGUGUUGAUAACAGCUAUAUGAUUCUGUGUACAAUAAGAGAUGUGUUUGUCAGAAACACAAUGCCCCAUAUUGCGCCGCUUUGAAUCCAUAUUUUUUACCUUUGACAUUGAAGGAUGACCUUGAGCUUGACCUUUCGCCUCUCAAAAUGUGCAGCUCCAUGAGAUACAUAUGCAUGCCAAAUAUCAAGAUGCUAUCUUCAAUAUUGCAAAAGUUAUGACCAAGGUUAAGUUUUUGCACAGACACACGCAUACAAUGACAGACAGACCAAAAACAAUAUACCUCCGAUCAUUCGAUCCGGGGGCAUAAACGGCCGUGGACUGAUAUCCGUUAUCCGUUAUAAUGAAUAUGGAUGAAUUGCUUUUUGCGUGCGAUAUAAUUAUAUUUGGGUUGCAAAAUGUCAUUUUGAAUAUCCAUUCAUACACAAAUCAUAUAUGGUAUGGUGUAGAUUAGUAAAGACACCAACACCCGAACUUAAGAGACUACAUGUAACAACAUAGAGUGCAUAUAACAGUUUCUUAUCAAACUUUAAAGAAACUGAUUGAUUGAUGUUUGGUUAUUUAAUCUGGGUCAUGUUAAAAUUUUAUUGUAUAAAGUUGGCAUUUUGUUAAGUUAAGGUUACACUGCUGGGUAAAGCUAGCAUUAUGUUAGAUUACGGUAACAUUAUAUUGGCAUAAGCGGAUAUUAUGUUGGGUCAAUUUAUUAUUCUGUUGGGUUAACUUGACUAAACCUCAGACCAACUUGAUUUGACAGAAUGAAUACUGGACUUAACCUAAUGUCAACUUAACCCAAAUUAAUGCAGACUUGACCAAACAUUUUGUUCUUUAACACAACGUAAUACAGACUUGACCAAACAUACUGUUAACUUAAACCAACGUUAUGGGUGAAAUUUCUUACCAUGUACUCGUUACAAAUUAUUUAUAGUUUUACGCAAUCUACCUGUUCGUGUUAUAUGUUAUUUUCUAAACAAAAUAAACAAGCCUAUUGACAAGA